AGCUCUAGUAGCGUAUAUUCAAGUUGUUGCAGUUAAAAAGCUCGUAGUCGGAGCUCUGCCGUCCCCGCCGGUCUGCUUCGGCGUGCACUGGCGCGGGGCGGCAUAUUCUCGCGUCUGCGUUGUGCGCUUCAUUGCGCGCAUUGCGGACAGAGGCGGAUACUUUGAGUAUAUUAGAGUGUUCCAAGCAGGCGUUGCCCUGAAUACUGCAGCAUGGGAUAUCGAGAUAGGACUCUGGUCCAAUCUUGUUGGUUCUCUGGACCGGAGUAAUGAUAAAUAGGGACAGUCGUGGGCAUUCAUACUCUCGCGUCAGAGGUGAAAUUCUUGGAUUGCGGGAUGAUGGACGAGGCGAAAGCAUUUGCCAAGGAUGUUCUCA
rnacentral:rRNA from 1 species